GUUUAACCAAAUUUGAGUAUUCCCCAGCACCGUCAGCCAACACUCAGCAAGAGACAUCAUAAAGAGAAAGUUCUUAUUAUCGGUCAAACAUAUUUGUAUAGUGUGGACACUGUGGAACUGGAGAAUUAGGCCUUCAACGUUAAUCAUUUUAAUGGAGAUUCAUCCAUGUAACAGCCUUCCAUUGCAUGGUGUGAACAUACAAAUUCUAGG